ACAGUGGCAUAUGCACAUCGGCAAAUGUUCAUUAUUAUUAUACAAGUAGCAAUUCAAAAUUUAACAGUGGUACUAGCGAAGCUUCAAACCACUUUGGUAAAGGCAUCAAGGUCUUGUUAACACUGAUAUGCAUUUGACACAAAGCUCUGUUAAGCUUGUCAGACAGCUGUCAAUAGUUGAAACAUAGGCUACGAAUUUAAUUACUUCCUGCACUCGACCUCUUUCUGUUCUGACCGCUGGCACGAUCAGUUGUGCUUUAUUUAGCUGCAAUAAAUUUUGUUUAAAUUAUUAAAAGUGAAACACGUGUAUAUUUUCGUGUGCAAAUCGUGCUAUUGAGAAGCCAUCCUCAAGGAGGCUUUAUUAAAACCUUGUAAGAUCACCAUUUCACAGCGUUUAUCUGUUCCAUUUUGGAUUAUUUUUUGCUUCAAAGAAUAUUGUUGUAUGGCGACAUGAGCUAUUGUCUUGGUCGGCUCAUCCACAAUUAAACGUUGGAUUCAUCCCGUCAGAUAAUCAGGCGAAGCUGGAAUUUGAAUGCAGAAAUUAGCGACAAGGCAGAAUUUCAAUAGGCAGCAAACGUAGCAGCAGCAGCGGCGGAGAGAACUCGACUUUUACAAAGACUCCAGUACCCUCCAAAAACCAGGAGAAAGAGCCACAUAUACUCGUAUAUGUGUACUAACGUUAACGAAUUUGGUUUCUUUAAAAUUCAGGCAGAAAUAUCAAUAUUACGAAUUUUUGCAUGCUUAACCUAAAAGCAGAGACCCUGUGCUUACAAAUUGCAUGUACAGCGCAAGUACAAAGUCCAACUUUAUUGGCAUAAUUUUAUCUAAGCAUCAGCUAUUAAUAGCAAUUGUUUAAAGUAACUGUAUUUUGGUUUGUGCAAAAGCAAAAGUUUUUCUUUAUCAAAAGUUCAAAAGUAAGAGAGCCUCUUACAUAGGCAUAUAAUUAAUUCAUACAUACAUAUAUAUUAGAGCAGGCAUUUGCAACUCAAUAAGUGCUGAGUUUGGAAAUAUUAAUAUCUUAAUUUUUUUUGUUUUUUUUUUAUUGGAGAUCGAAAGUGUUGAAAUAGUACUGCUUGUAUAAAUUAAUUUUGAUCCCAUACUAACAUACACAGCAACAUCUGGAAACCAUGGAGGCCUUCAUCGGAUUUUUCAGAGGGUGAGUCAAACUUGCAUAUCUAUUUCUUGCUUAUUUUCGAUCAUCAAGUGUACAGGUUAAUAAGUAAAUUUCAAAUAUAUAAAAGUACGGCUUUAAAGUUUUGGGGUCAAUGCCCUUGAAAGCUUUUCGUCAACGAUUAAACAUAUGAUGCCCAGCAUCACAGCUUUUUAGUUUCAAAGUUUGUUUUGAUUUUUAUUGCUAAUUGCUGAUACAGUUCGGUAUAACUGUUUUACUAGCGACUGAUAAUAAUAUUUUUAUUUUUGCUCUCGAUGCACUUAUGCUUAUUACUAGAUAUAUUUAUGCAUGAAUUAUGGCUUUUUCUUUAAACCGGUAUACUCUGAUAUCAUUUUUCAUUGUUUUGAGGAAACAAACUUAUAUCGCAACUAUGAAUUACUCUUGCUUAUGCAGAAUAACUUUGGUUUAUCAACUCUUAUGUGCUAUUGAUGAAUAUUAACCUUUAAUUUUAGUUUGAUUAUGGUUUUCUUUUAUUUACGUUAUGAUUACUUGAAUUUUAUAAAUGGAAAAGAAUGAAGUUUAUUUGGAAUUUAGUAUUUUUCAUUAUAUAUUGAAUAAAAUAACUAUGACUUUGUGAAUUUAAAUAUAUUUUUCCUAAUGUAAAGGGAUAAGGCAGGCGAAGUAGCCUCUUCUUGGGAUUUUUCUUAAAAUAACGCACAAUGGAAAAAUCAUUGGUAGGGUGGGUAGAGAGCGUAGCAACCACACCAUCUGGUUAGCUUUGAAGAAGGUAUUGCUGUUUCUUAAUACAUUUUCCGAUUCUUUUCAUUGUCUUUCUUUUUUCUUUCUUUCACUGUUAGCCUAUUGCAAGUGCCGCCCCAACUAUCUUUUUU